UGAAAAAUAAUUCAGGCCCUGGCCAGGUAGCUCAAUUGCUUGGAGCGUUGUCUGGAUACACUAAGGUGGUGGGUUUGAUCUCUGGUCAGGGCACAGACAAGAAGCAACCAGUGAAUGCAUAAAUAAGUGGAACAA